rnacentral:rRNA from 1 species
CCAGUAGUCANAUGCUUGUCUCAAAGAUUAAGCCAUGCAUGUCUAAGUUCACACUGUCUCACGGUGAAACCGCGAAUGGCUCAUUAAAUCAGUCGAUGUUUAUUAGAUGAAAACUAUCCUACUUGGAUAACUGUGGCAAUUCUAGAGCUAAUACAUGCUAACCAAGCUCCGACCCUCGUGGAAAGAGCGCUUUUAUUAGUUCAAAACCAAUCGUCGUACCCUUCACGGGGUGCGGCGUCCCGAUUGGUGACUCUGGAUAACUUUGUGCUGAUCGCAUGGCCUUUGUGCUGGCGACGCAUCUUUCAAAUGUCUGCCCUAUCAAAUGUCGAUGGUACGUGAUAUGCCUACCAUGUUUGUAACGGGUAACGGGGAAUCAGGGUUCGAUUCCGGAGAGGGAGCAUGAGAAAGGGCUACCUCU